ACCAGAGUGUUCGACUUCAUUCUUUGCAAGCUUAACGCCACCACAGCAACAAUGUCGGUUAUCAGUGAAGAGAUGCAGUCCAAAUAAUAUGAAGAUCUUGACAGUUUGCUUAUUGUGCCGAGGGAGAAGUGGGCGUUCAAUGUCUCUAUGAACACCCACUGUAAGUGGUCGCAACUGAAUUACAUCAACAAGACUCUCUAAGAGAAAGGGCAGUACGAUCCAAUGAAGCGUACGUGUUUCGGAAUGCUGCUGGACGUAUAUCCACAAGGCUACUUUUACGCAGGUCUCCUGCAUAAUAUCAUGAUUUGUCGAAUCACUGAGACAGAUUCAAUGGAGCAUGUGCUAUGAUUUGCCAUUGGCAAAAACAAAGUGAGCAUAUCAAAGUAGGAAUUCUGCCUUAUCAUCGGACUAAAGUUUGGUCGAAUGCCCGAUGUGUUCACACAACUGUACAAGAUUGUUGCGGAUAGAAUUCAUGCGAGAUAUUGGAACGGGAAGUAGAGCGUUAAGCUGCAGGCAUUGCUUGAAACGUUUCACGGACCUAACUUUUAGCAACUAGGAGACGUGACCAAGAUGGCACUCGUCUUGAUCACGAAUAACAUUUUAUUUGGUCAAGAUUACUGUAGAUGGGUGACGCCUUAGCUCUUGUCAUUAGUGAAGGACAUCGACGCUUGGAAUGUCUUCCCAUAGGGUCACUAUGUUUGGAGGCUGACCUUGGACUACCUUUUGAAGGGGUUUGAAGUGCUUGCCUUAAACUUGCAGAAUGAUACUCGUUUAAGCUACAACAUUUACGGAUUCGCGUGGGUGAUAUAGUUCUGGGCAAUGAAGGCAAUUCCAGCCUUGCAAAAGAGAGUUGCCUUUUUUGCUCCGAAGGACAAUGUCUACCCACAUAUGUGCGAAUAGAAAUGCAAUCAGAAGCCAAAAGACUUCUACAAGGCAGUUGAGAAGUUGGAGUCAUCUCAGCAUUUAUGGGCAGUCAAGACCUUGGAGCCCACCCCGGAUAAAGCCAGACGGGAGUAUUCUGUGGACAUCGAUGUCCCAUUAUCUGAGGGCCACCAAUACGUGCCAAUAGAGCAUAUGGAGGAUUGGGCAGACUAGGGCUUAGGUGCAAGGGAAAAGAGGAGAAACUUGAAGCAGAAAAUAACCAUUGGUGCCACGAAGCAGAGGCGCACCACCGCUAUUGGAGUCGAUGAGCUGUAGGCCCCCGAGUUGAUAGAGGAAAGGGACAACCAUGUUGGACCAUGCGACGAUAGCUCCACAACCACCGAGAGGUCAUUUUCAAACAUACAGUGCUAAUGAGCCGUCAUUGAUGGAGGGGACGACAACUCCUCAACGAUCGAUCGGUCCUGCUCAACCGCACAGUGCUAAUGAGCCACCGAUAAGGAUAUUAAAGUUCUAACGGUUAAUGUUCAACAAUGAACAUAUAUGAUUAUUGAAUAACAUGAUAAUAUAUGUUAUUGUAGUUGACCGAUGCGACAAGUGUCAAUGAUGGAGUAGUCACGAAACGUCAGCUGCGACGGAUCAUGCGCAGGCAUGAAAAAGACAUGUUGGAGCUGAAGGCUUUAAUUCAGUCAUUGACUCUCGCAAUGCAGAUGUUGGAGGAUCAUAUCAUUCGUUAGAUUCUAGACAGCCUGAAAUCACAAGUUUUUAAGGAAGCACCAUCAUUCCAAUUGGAUCAUUAGGGGAAUUUGAGUUAACUAAAGGUUCUAUAAUCAAUUG
rnacentral:sRNA from 1 species